rnacentral:rRNA from 1 species
CCUACGGGAGGCAGCAGUGGGGAAUAUUGCGCAAUGGGCGAAAGCCUGACGCAGCGACGCCGCGUGAGGGAUGAAGGUCUUCGGAUCGUAAACCUCUGUUAGCAGGGAAGAACGGUCACUGUGCUAAUCAGCAGUGACUUGACGGUACCUGCAAAGGAAGCACCGGCUAACUCCGUGCCAGCAGCCGCGGUAAUACGGAGGGUGCGAGCGUUAAUCGGAAUUACUGGGCGUAAAGCGCUCGUAGGCGGUAUGUCAAGUCAAGGGUGAAAUCCCCGCGCUCAACGUGGGAACUGCCUUUGAAACUGGAGAACUGGAGUGUGGGAGAGGAUAGUGGAAUUCCAGGUGUAGAGGUGAAAUGCGUAGAUAUCUGGAGGAACAUCAGUGGCGAAGGCGACUAUCUGGCACAUAACUGACGCUGAGGAGUGAAAGCGUGGGUAGCAAACAGGAUUAGAUACCCGAGUAGUC